AGAGUUUGAUCAUGGCUCAGGACGAACGCUGGCGGCGCGCCUAAUACAUGCAAGUCGAGCGAGAACCAGGGCUUCGGCCCUGGGGAGAGCGGCGAACGGGUGCGUAUCACGUGAGCAACCUGCCUCGGAGACCGGAAUAACUCGAGGAAACUCGGGCUAAUGCCGGAUGCCCUCGGUGGACCGCAUGGUCCGGCGAGGAAAUGGAUUCCGCUCCGAGAUGGGCUCGCGGCCUAUCAGCUUGUUGGUGGGGUAACGGCCUACCAAGGCAACGACGGGUAGCUGGUCUGAGAGGACGAUCAGCCACACUGGGACUGAGACACGGCCCAGACUCCUACGGGAGGCAGCAGUAGGGAAUCUUGCGCAAUGGGGGAAACCCUGACGCAGCGACGCCGCGUGCGGGAUGAAGGCCUUCGGGUCGUAAACCGCUUUCAGCAGGGACGAAAUUGACGGUACCUGCAGAAGAAGGCCCGGCCAACUACGUGCCAGCAGCCGCGGUGAUACGUAGGGGUCUAGCGUUGUCCGGAAUUAUUGGGCGUAAAGAGCUCGUAGGCGGUUCGGCAAGUCGGAUGUGAAAUCUCCACGCUUAACGUGGAGGGGCCAUUCGAAACUGCCGUGACUCGAGUCCGGUAGGGGAGUUCGGAAUUCCCGGUGUAGCGGUGAAAUGCGCAGAUAUCGGGAGGAACACCAGUGGCGAAGGCGGAACUCUGGGCCGGAACUGACGCUGAGGAGCGAAAGCGUGGGGAGCGAACAGGAUUAGAUACCCUAGUAGUCC
rnacentral:rRNA from 1 species